CAGCGUUGGAUCUCCGAGACGUCGGGACCGCUGUUUGCACAGCCGUGAGCCAUUUUGGACGCUCUCCACUCCCUGCUUUCAC